rfam:Spirochaetes bacterium GWF1_49_6 gwf1_scaffold_3293, whole genome shotgun sequence.
GCGGCCAUCGUACAGUGGUAGUAUCUUAGCCUUCCAAGCUAACUGCGCGGGUUCGAUUCCCGCUGGCCGCU